rnacentral:rRNA from 1 species
CGAAAAGGACCACGCCCCCGCGCUCCGUCGGAGAGGACGGCGCGGCACACGCUCGCGUGUGCAGUACCCGCGUCGUUCGUGUUUGGGUUGGGGGUUAGGUAUCGGCGGUGUGGGAGGGAGGAGGAUAAAGGAGGGAGCAGACGGCGGCGGUGCGGGAGGGAGGAGCAGCGGGACAGAGACGGGUCGAAACGGCGGAGGGUGCGCGAGCAGGAGAGUGGAGGGUACCUCCCCUCCCCACUCCUACAACCCUUUCCUCCUUCGGCCUCUACUCCUCCAGCUACGUCCCCUGCGGUACCUACCAGCCCCGCGACCGAGGAGGAAAGGGGUACGGUGCCGACGGGUCUAGGCCGCUAGGGGAGGGUGAGGCCGUAGGUCCAACCUCCGUAACCGCACUUCCACAGCACUCAAUAAACGUUCCCGUAACAAGACUGCACGAGGAGGUACAGAGGACGCUCAAGAACCACACCGCUAGUACCGAGGUCUAUCGUAUUUUAGCUGUAGUACCCACAGCCACGUCUUACUGCCUCCUCGCCCUCUUCGUCCUCGACGAGCCUGCGCGAUCGCGGUCACUCUAGAAGGUCGUACGCGGCUGCCUGUUCGGCCGUAAGUGCGACCGGGUCUAGUUCCUCCGUUAGGGCGGAGUGAUGAAAGUCACGAGCAACUAGUUCAGGAAGAGGAUACACCAGAUACUGGAGCAGUGGUCGCGCAGGGAGGACAUGCGGCCCAACCAGACCUAGGGUCGUGAGAGCUCGUACGUUAUCAACCCGCGGACAGGCGAGAUGACCCACGGAGUAAAACUAAAAGAAUGGAACUCCAGACACUGCUCCGUCUGUCCACCGCCCGCCGUUGUUAUCCCCAACCGCCUACGAGGCUCUGGUUAUCGGAUGAAUCACUACCCUUCCUCCUAGACUGUUCAAUUGGGGGGUGUUAACACAACAACCUCUUGAAGACGCUCGAGUCAUUUUAUUACUUAGAAGUAGAGGCUACAAAAGAGAGCUUUUACCUCGCGCCUAGCGUCCUCGUUCCUCGACCAGCUCACAUCACUUGUUUGUUAGUUGCGCCGUGUAAACCUUCAACACUCUCGACACUUACCGUGGCCAGAACAGUAUGAUUACUCGUCCUCGUGGCCGGUGUAAUGAGAAGUACGGUGAGAUUCGUCAGCCGACGAUGAACUCUAACUAAAGGUACAAAUUCCUUUCCCUCUGGCCUAACUCAAGGACAUAUACGUUCUUCUUCCCCGUAACAGCACCAACAACGACUUCCACAACCAGUCCUCGACUAAUGGCCCUGACUACUGUUCUUGCUUCUCGUUCUACUCAUACAGUUGUACAACAAGGAAUUGCAACCGGAAGAAGAUAUUUCAAGUGUACGUUGAGAGGAAGUACCAAUCUUUUUUGAUUAAAUUUGCAAAAGAAAGAAACUACCAAUGAGUAAAGAGAAUGGUAACAACAUAGUUUUGUUAAAAUAAAAGCGACUACCGGCGAACCCGAGUAAAAGCUUCUCUUACUCUACACCUUAUUUGAUGAGAUUUUACCAACCAAGGGAAGUUUGUUAAAUAAUCGAUUGAUUAAAACCAACGACAACGUGUACUAUGUUAACACGAGACAACAACGGUAGAACGUAAAGUACACUCGAAUUUGUCUGUUAGUUAAUUUGAAAAUGAUUCAAGAAUAACAUACAUAAACGAGUUUGUCAAUGACUUUUUUACGUUUAUAAAAAUCGUUCAUGUACCAAAAUUUACCCUGAGCCACAGCAAAUCGCGUUACCCGUCACAAUAUGUUUAUAUUAAAAAACCACGUUCCAAUAUGUAAAAAAAGUUUGAACCUAAAGUGUUACACUUUCUGUAAAAGUUUUCUCAUACCAAAUUAUAUACCCGAAAGAUGUUGCUCAUAACUUCAGGAACGUUUUACUUUGAUAAAAGUAGCUGUUGUACCGAAACCGCCCAGAGACGCGGUAAACCGCGUUGCCCGCUCUUUAACGUGGUCAGCCGC